rnacentral:tRNA from 1 species
GGCUAGAUAGCAAAGUGGUUAUGCAAAAGAUUGCAAAUCUUAAAUAGAUUGGUUCGAAUCCAAUUCUAGCUU